AUGGAAGGUGACUCGUGUUACCAAUUCGCCCUCGACUGGUAAUUGGCGGUGCUUUCAGCUUCCCACCGUCGUGAGAAGUGGACCGGCGAGUCACGUUGGCUCGUUGUCGUCGGUUGUCUUCGGUGCGCCCGAUGGCGGCUUGCAUACAAACACCCAGAGGUGUCGGAUGGCUUUUUGUGGGCACUUUUAUUAACAACCAAAAGCAUGCGGGGGGCACAGCAGUGGAGUCUACGCUAACUGCGCACUUUGCCGGUAACACUCUCCUUCCAAACAGUAACUCCCUCCCUCCUCCUCCCACUCCUCCCACUCCCAUACCAUCGCAAAGGGCUUGUUCUCACGAGGGUCAUGGGUGAACAGGAGCCUAUCCUAAAUGACUGAGGACACCCUGCAUGGACUGUUUGCCACUGGCAGUCCAUUUCAGGGCACAUGGACAGACAAGCAAGGGCAUAGGUUUGCACAGGGACGAGACAAAAACACUGGCGUCACAAUCAACAAGUCAAGGCCCGCAAGAUGAAAACUCAACCGGAAGAGAGGCGUACUUUUGAUGCAAUGAGUUCACAAUCCAUGCACAGUGAGAGCAAGUAAAAAAGAAGCCAGUGGAGUGAGUGGCGUAGGAGUUGGUAUUAUUGUAAUGAGAACCCCCCUGCAGCCCGAUGGAGACGGAGAUCAUCUAUUCUUGCCUGAACAAACCAUGUGUCACAAUGGAAGAGGCGUCAGCGAUCAAAAACAUGAAUGCCUCCCACAACUUCAGGGCUCGGCCAUACUACGUAGAACUCUGUUUAUGUAAGUUGUUUCUAUAAUGAAACCGACACUUAGUUUAAUAUAUAAAAUGUAUGUAAAAUCACAAUGUUGGAUGGAGAUGUGGUAUAGAUUUGUUUCACACUAUUCACUGUCGUUGAAACGGAACAACGGUCCUUGAAAAAGGUCGAUACUGUUUUCAAAGAAUAUUCACUGUGUUUUUAUUUUUUUGACUGGUAUUUUCUAUUUACCUGCUUUACUAGUUUUGGAUACUUCCUGUAGCUUCUGAUGAUGGCUACAGGUAGCAAGUAAAGCAGGUAAAUAAAAUACUCAAAUCUAUAUGAAAGAAAUCAAAAUAUGGGGAAUAACACUCCUCCUCGGUAUGUUUUAGCUGCUGGGGGGAGGGAAGAACUUUGUCUGCAGCAAUUACUGACCAUAUUCCUGGGAAUUUCUUGGGAUGAGUUCCUUCCCCAAGUGGAAGAGUUUAAGUAUCUCUAGGUCUUGUGCACGAGUGAGGGAAGAAUGAAGCGGAUCGGUACGGCAUCUGCAGUCAUGCGGACUCUGCAUCUGUCCGUUGUGGUUAAGAAGGAGCUGAGCCGAAAGGCGAAGCUCUCUAUUUACUGGUUGAUUUUCUUCGUUCCUACCCUCUCGUAACCAAAAGAACAAGAUCUCGUUUACAAGCGACUGAAAUGGGUUUCCUCCGCAGGGUGUCCGGGUUGAGAUAGGAAAACUCGGUCAUUCGGGAGGGGCUCGGAGUAGAGCCGCUGCUCCUCUACAUUGAGAGGUGUUAGAUGAGGUGGCUCGGCUAUCUGAUUAGGAUGUCUCCCAAACACCUCCCUGGUGAGGUGUUCCGUGUACGUCCUACAGGGAGGGACCUGGGGCCGACCCAGGACACGCUGGGGAAACUAUGUCUCCUGGCUGGUCUGGGAACACCUUGGGAACCCCCUGGAAGAGCUGGGUGAAGUGGCUGGGGGGAGGGAAGUCUGGGGUUUCUCGUCUGAAACUGCUGCACCCGCAAUCUGACCUUGGAUAAGCGGGAG